UUAUUUUAGUUUAAACACAGUUUUUGUACGUGUCGUGUAAAAGUCAAGUUUUUCAACAAAUAAGUUUCAAACAUUUUAUCUAAUUGUUUUUUUGAAGAAUUCAAUAGAAAUAAAAAAAAUGUCUGUACUGAAUAAAAUUAAAUCACUCUCUCACAAUGAAUAUGUAUCAAUGGCUUCACUGACAUUAAAUAAAGAGUAUCGGGUAACUACUUUGAGAUCUGUGGAAACCAAGUACGGUCGAACAUUAAUAGCGAGAUUAGAAAACGAUUAGAAAUCGCUGAUAAAGUCACAGUGUCAUCAAGAACCAUCAGCUCCAAGAAGAAGACUCUACUCUAUGAUCAAUAUGGCUGCCGAACCUGUAAGAAAACAGCGUUACAUUGAUAUCACACCAACACCGCCAGCCGAGAUGAUUGACUCUAGCAGUUACACUAUUGCGUUCAGUGACAGAAAAUUUUUGCAAGUGGGCCUGAAUCCAAAGAAGGACUUCAAUGUUACAGUAUGUAUUAUUACUCCUUCACAAUAUAUUAGUAUGUCAGCAGACUAUUUAAAUAUUAUUUACGACAUGAUGGAUGAAAUAACAUUAUUUCUACAAUCAUCUCCGGUAAAAGGAGGGAACAUUAUGUUAUACCAAAAUGUCGAUUUUAAUAUAACCAAAGUAUUGCAUCGUGAUACCAUGCAUUUAGUAUUGGAUUCCAGGAUGGUCGAUGGCUGUCGAGUGUUAUUGAAUAACGAAAACAUUAAUAGACUUAUGGACUUACAGUGUACUAUUAACAGUGCAAUAUCAAGAAAAAUAAAAACACGUUUACUAUUAUGCCAUCAAAUAGACCACAUCAUACAAUACGUUGACGAUAAAUGACCAGGCCAUAAAAUUCAACAUUCAAACAAUGAUGAAAUGGUUAAAUUUAUAAAAAGUUUGAAUGAAAUAUGCGAUACUUUUCCUAAAGGGGACAGUAAUUACAUAAGCGAGCUGAAGAAUUUAGCAUACAAUGAAAUAGUCGAACGAUGGGUCAAGUCUUGGUCCGAAGAUAAGUUUCAAAUUAAUGAAAAAGAAGAAGAAAUGUGUGACGAAAAUGACGGUCCGGCAUUUUCAAUACAACAAUGUUUACCCGAGAAAAUAAUUAUAGUCCAUGGGCGUCACAAUGGGCCGAUAUCCAAUCACGUCAGAAAAUUAACCUACAUUAAUAAUUU